GGGACAUGUCUCUUUUCCAAGUGGGUAUAAGCCGAGCCAAUCAAGGCAAAAUCAGCAGAGUGUGUGUACCAGGUGUUAGUGAAGUGGAUACAUCGUUGGGGUGCACCACUUAAGAUUUUAAGUGACCAAGGUACAGAGUUUAACAACAAGCUGCUGAACGAAUUAAUGUUCAAAAAAUUUAACAUCCGCCAUCUUGUCACAGCUGCCUAUCACCCCCAAACAAAUGGUCAAGAUGAGCGCACUAAUGGAACUCUUAAGCGUCACCUUUCAAAGAUGGUCAAUGAACAGCAGGAUGAUUGGCACCUUUAUAUUGAACAAGCAUGCUGGG